rnacentral:misc_RNA from 1 species
CCGCUCCCGUCGACGAGAUAAACAGAGUUUAGGUUUUCUCGCUUGAACUAAGAUGGGUCGUGGAGUUAGCAGUGGCGGAGGGCAAAGCUCUCUGGACUACCUUUUUGGUGGUGGAGAGGCUCCCACAAAGCCCGCUGCUAACCCUCCAGCUGCUGACAAUGCUGGGACUGUUGAUAAGUCCUCCGGUGCUCCAGCUCCACUUGACAACGGCAAGCAGGUUCCUGCUGGCAUACAAGGAAACACAGCAAGGAAUGCAAACAACUACUUUAGAGCUGAUGGCCAGAAUACUGGCAACUUCCUAACGGAUCGUCCUUCCACCAAGGUUCAUGCUGCACCUGGUGGUGGUUCCUCCCUUGGUUACCUUUUUGGUGGCGGUAGCAACUGAUGGGAUUACUAUGCUGUUUUAGAACUGCACCAAGUGAUUGCAGAUUUCUAGUUGAAGAGUUGCUUAAUCAUGUAAUAUAUACCUAAGGCUGAGGCCAGAAAUUUCUGCCCCUUGGUUGGUGAUUUGUGUUCUCUAUUUUUCUGAAAAAUCUUUGCAAGCUCUUGCUGUUCGGCCUAUUAUUGGAUCCUGUUUCUGAUUUGG